rnacentral:lncRNA from 1 species
GCGCGGUUGUCAGCUGUAAGUAAAGCGAGCCCCGUAACCGUUCGUUUUCCGCGGGUCGUCCCGGGUGAGGACGCUCAGUGCUGCUUUUGCCUUUCAGAAACCUCCUGCAAAAGUGGAAGCGAAGCCGAAAAAGGCAGCAGCGAAGGAUAAAUCUUCAGACAAAAAAGUGCAAACAAAAGGGAAAAGGGGAGCAAAGGGAAAACAGGCCGAAGUGGCUAACCAAGAAACUAAAGAAGACUUACCUGCGGAAAACGGGGAAACGAAGACUGAGGAGAGUCCAGCCUCUGAUGAAGCAGGAGAGAAAGAAGCCAAGUCUGAUUAAUAACCAUAUACCAUGUCUUAUCAGUGGUCCCUGUCUCCCUUCUUGUACAAUCCAGAGGAAUAUUUUUAUCAACUAUUUUGUAAAUGCAAGUUUUUUAGUAGCUCUAGAAACAUUUUUAAGAAGGAGGGAAUCCCACCUCAUCCCAUUUUUUAAGUGUAAAUGCUUUUUUUUAAGAGGUGAAAUCAUUUGCUGGUUGUUUAUUUUUUGGUACAACCAGAAAAUAGUGUGGGAUAUUGAAUUAUGGGAGGCUCUGACUGUCUCGGGUGUCAGCUUAACAUUCCACAGAUGGGGGGUUAGUUUUUAUAUCCUAUAAUACAAAGCAUAUUAAAUGGCAAUAUGGAGUCAGUCCUGCAUUUAAUGUCUUGAACAUUUUAAAUUACUUCUAUUACCAUGUUGUUUUUUAGUAGAAUUGUUUCCUAAAGAAAACCACUCUUUGAUCAUGGCUCUCUCUGCCAGAAUUGUGUGCACUCUGUAACAUCUUUGUGGUAGUCCUGUUUUCCUAAUAACUUUGUUACUGUGCUGUGAAAGAUUACAGAUUUGAACAUGUAGUGUACGUGCUGUUGAGUUGUGAACUGGUGGGCCGUAUGUAACAGCUGACCAACGUGAAGAUACUGGUACUUGAUAGCCUCUUAAGGAAAAUUUGCUUCCAAAUUUUAAGCUGGAAAGUCACUGGAAUAACUUUAAAAAAGAAUUACAAUACAUGGCUUUUUAGAAUUUCGUUACGUAUGUUAAGAUUUGUGUACAAAUUGAAAUGUCUGUACUGAUCCUCAACCAAUAAAAUCUCAGU